UACGUAGGUGGCAAGCGUUGUCCGGAUUUAUUGGGUUUAAAGGGUGCGUAGGCGGCCCUGUAAGUCAGCGCUGAAAUAUCCCGGCUUAACCGGGAGGGUGGCAUUGAUACUGCAGGGCUUGAGUAAAGUUGAGGUUGGCGGAAUUGACGGUGUAGCGGUGAAAUGCUUAGAUAUCGUCAAGAACACCGAUAGUGAAGACAGCUAACUAAGCUUUAACUGACGCUGAGGCACGAAAGCGUGGGGAGCAAACAGG
rnacentral:rRNA from 1 species